AUGGAUGGUGUUUCGCAGCCUCAAAUUAUGUUGGAAGUUCUUGAAGAACAGCAGGUUCUGUUGCUAUGUUCCUAUAAAACUACACGAGCUGCUCCAGAAUUGUUUUGGUAUAUCCAACGUCGAAACGACAUUCCUCGACAUUUAUUGACAAGGUCUGUUGGAUACAACCCCGAUGCAGACGACUUAAGAUUUGACGCAAAACUGUUAGAAAAAGAAACAACGGUUCAUUUAACGAUUUCAUCUGCUAAGUUGUCUGAUUCUGCGAUGUAUUACUGCGCACUGAAGCCCACGGCAGUGAAAAUGAAAUUGAAGUACAUACACGAAAAUAUAACAGUGCAGGGUUCAGAAUACGAGAAUUAA